ACCCACCUUGGGGAGGGGCCAGCUGCUGUGUUCAGUCCGCCAUUGCAAACACGAAGCUCUUCCAGAAACGCCCUCACAGACACCCCGGAAGUCACGUACCCACUCUGUAGGUGCCCCGGGGCACAGGCAAGCGGACGAGCCAGUUAUCCCUCAGAGCUCCUGCUGCCUCGCCCGCUUUCUCUCGGAAACGUGAAGUGUGGCCUCAGCUGAAAGUGAGGUGGGCCUCAUUCAAUCAGUUGAAUUCUUCAAGAGAGAAAAACUGAAGUCCCUUAGAAGGAAAGAGUUCUGCCUUCAGACUGUCUUUGAACUUAAGACUGUAGCGUCGACUCCUGCCGGAAUUUCCAGCCUGCUGGCCAGCUCUGCAGAUUCACACUUGCCAGCCUCCACAAUCGCAGCUGAGGCGGAGGAACCCUAAGGGCUCAUUGAGAUCAUGGAUUUGCCCUUCUAUGCAUUGAUGGAGCACCUGCUGCCCACAGCGUCUGUAUUUGGUGCUGGGAUGCUGAGCCUCCUUCUUUAUGAAUUUUUAAAAGGACACUGAGAUCUUCAAACAGAGGCUGCCACUCUAAGCAAACAGAUCCCGAGCCCUGGACUCUGAAGCUUGGGCCCAGUUCUCCUUUUCUCCGGGUUUCAGAUCCCACUGUGAAGUGAGGGGGCCCUUCUGAUUCAGGACCCGGGGAAGCCAGGGGCAUGAGCAUCGGUGCCUCUUCUCUAUUUCAAGGACCCUUCUGGGUGUAAAGUUCUCUGAGAUGCCUUACAUGGAUUCCCACCACUGCAAGAUAACCAUCGUAUGUAAAGUGUUAUGACCAGCAGAGCGUAAUUGAAGUGCAUUCCAGAGGGAAAGACAGCGGCUCAGAAAUGACUGAUGGGGAGAAAGAUGCAGAGCACAGACUAAUUCGCAGCUAAUUCUUCUAAACAGUCAUGACUGGCUAGACAAAAUGUGGCAGAUGCUUUUCAUUUUAUUUCCAAAUUUGCAAUGAAAGCCGAGAGUCGCGGUGGAUAGGCUCUUUCUUCUGGCCCCUGACCUGUGCGAUGACUCAACAUGGCACAGGAUGAUGGAGUUAGAAAACCCCACGGGGACAGAAGACGCUGUAGACAGUCAGCUGGCGGGAAGGACUCGGACAACCCAAUCGCACACCAAGAUGCCCUUGAGCGCUGCUGUCUCCCUCACAGUGGGGGCGCCACCCAGAACACCAGGCACUUUGCUGUGGCUCCAGGGAGACGUGAGCUCUGGACAGAAGGAAAUGUUCUCCUGAGUCCUUUCAAUUCUUGGUGGCUGCUGGACUUGCCUGUUGAGGGGGAUCUUGCUGCGGGUCAUAGCCACUCCUCUCAUGGUGGGGACACAGUAAGAAAACAAGACAGGUCAGGUAGAGUAUUCACAUACACACACACACGCAUGCACACACACAAUUUUAGCUGGCUAUAACUACUUUAAAGAAAAUCUGUAGGUUGCCAAUAGAAUGACAGGUGACAGUUAAGGAGGGAUGGCCACUGUUCAGGGAAAGUCUCUCUGGAAAGAUGACCUUCGAGCUGAGGACCAGAAAGGCCUGUGGCAGUGAGGCUUUUUUGUUGUUGUUGUUGUUUUUUGGUUUUUUUGAGACAGAGUCUCACUCUGUCGCCCAGGCUGGAGUUCAGUGGCAUGAUCUUGGCUCACUCCAACCUCUGCCUCCUGGGUUCAAGCGAUUCUUCUGCCUCAGCCUCCCAAGUAGCUGGGAAUACAGAUGCGUGCCACCAUGCCUGGCUAAUUUUUGUAUUUUUAGUAGAGAUGGGGUUUCACCAUAUUGGCCAGGCUGGUCUCGAACUCCUGACCUCAUGAUCCACCCACCUUGGCCCCCCAGAGUGCUGGGAUUACAGGUGUGAACCACUGCACCCAGCCGUCAGCAAGUUUUGUGUGUCGACUUGGUUAGGAUGUGGUGCCCAGUUAUUUGAUCAAGCAAUAAUCUGGAUGUCAAUGUGGGGGUACUUUGUAGAUGUGGGUAACAUCCACCAUCAGCUGAUGGUACAUAAAGGAGAUACCCUGAAUAGUGUGAAUGGGCCUCAUCCCAUCAAUUGAAGAUCUUAAGAGCGUAACUGAAGCUUCCCUGGAAAAGAAGAAAUUCUGCCUGAAGACCACAGCAUCACUGCUGCCCCCGAGCCCUACGGAGCUCAGACUUGCCUACCCCCAGAGUCCCGUGGACCAAUUUCUUGCAAUCUCUUUUAUUGAUUCAAAUUUCUACUUCUAUUAAAUUUAUUUUUAUUUAUUUUAUUUUUAUUUUGUUGUACAAUACACACAAUAUUCUACUGGUUCUGUUUCUCUGGAGAACCAUGUCGGAUGCUAAUACAGGGUUCAUAGUCAUGCAUCUUCUCUAUCCAUUUGCUCUGGACACAUUAGUGGGCCUCAUCCACACAUGGUUUCAGCUAUUCACAUAUGGCUGCAACUUCUGAAUUUCUGUCUACAGCCUGGGACUCUCUCCUUGCACCACAGUCAUAAACUCAGGAACCUGCUGGACAUGACUACUCAAAGGCUCCCGCGUAUCUCAAACCUAAGAUGUCUGUUGUGAAAUGAGAAAAUUUACCCUCACCCUAAGCUUUUUUAUUAUUUUUUAAAAAUUCUUAACUAAUUUUUAAUUGUAAUGUAACAUAAACAGGAACAUGCAUAAAUCAGAAGCGUGUUGUGUGCAGAGCUCAGUCAAUUUUCACAAAAUGAACACACCCCUGAAGUCACCAUCCUGAUCGAGAUGACCACAUCCUCAGGGUUCCAAAUAUCCCCAUGCUCAUUCCCAGUCAUGACCGCCUUCUUUGCAAAGUGUAACACCUUCUUCUGACUACUGGCCCCUAUGUUACUUUUGCUUGUUUCAAAUUUUAUACAAAUUGAACCAUAUAGCAUGAAUUAUUUUAUGUCUGUUUCUUUUACUCAAUAUUGUAUUUGUGGGAUUUAUUCAUGUGGUGUUGUAUAUUAAUCAUUUAUGCAUCCAUAUUUUAUCAUUGCAGAGUACCACACUGUGUAAUUCUACCACAAUUUGUUCAAACAAUUCCACUGUUGGUGGGCGCCG
ensembl:lncRNA EPIC1 epigenetically induced MYC interacting lncRNA 1